AAUGAACGUUGGCGGCAUGGAUUAGGCAUGCAAGUCGCGCGAUAAAUGUAGCAAUACAUGGAAAGCGGCGAAAGGGACAGUAAUGCGUGGGAACCUACCUCGGGGUCUGGGAUAGCGGCGGGAAACUGCCGGUAAUACCAGAUGACAUCCCCGGAUCAAAGGUGUGAUUCCGCCCUGAGAUGGGCCCACGUGCUAUUAGCUUGUUGGCGGGGUAAUGGCCCACCAAGGCUUAGAUGGCUAGCGGGUGUGAGAGCACGACCCGCGUCACUGGGACUGAGACACUGCCCAGACACCUACGGGUGGCUGCAGUCGAGAAUCUUCGGCAAUGGACGCAAGUCUGACCGAGCGAUGCCGCGUGCGGGAUGAAGGCCCUUGGGUUGUAAACCGCUGUCGAGGGGAAUGAAAUUCUGGUGGGUACUCCCAUUAGAUUGACUGAUCCCUGGAGGAAGGGUGGGCUAAGUUCGUGCCAGCAGCCGCGGUAAUGUG
rnacentral:rRNA from 1 species